GUCUAGACAGACAACCUGUGUAUUGUUCCAGCCGAGUUAGGUGACCCUAAGAUAUAAGGGUCUGAUCAGCCAGAAUGUCUGAAAAGUGGAAGUUAAUGGGAGUGCUGCUGUCGGCCUCCUAUCCAGCCAUUGUAUCUCAACUGAAAGUAGAGGGUUCCCUCCCGUAAGGGUUUCAUGCUGUAUGUCCUCUUUGCCAUGCAAGAAUCAAAGGGAAUUUUGCACGUGACUACAACAAGGGUCUGGAAGAAGCCCUCAAGACUCCAGAGGCAAUUUGGAUAGGCUGUAGAGCUGUACAAACUUUGUGCCUUUCUGCCAAAUCCAGAGAUUCCAGAUCAUCUGAAAGUUAUGUGGUGUUUAAAUGCUGCACAUUCCUCUCAGUUCUGUAUCAUUUGAAGGUUGAGAGUUGGUAGCAGGGAGCAAAAGAAGAGGAAUGUUUUAAAUAUGUGUGACUAGUGAAUGGAUUGACAUUUUGCCUUGUAUUUCAAAAGGCUUUUUCUACUGGGAAAUUAGUCUCUACUCAUGGCAUUGUGAUAAUCCGCUUAUAGUCCAGUUCAUCAAUAUCUUUAAGUACUCACAUGCUUUUCCUCUACAACAAAGUAACUUUGUCAUUUGCAUGCUGGUUGUCAACCAUCUCAAGCAAAAUGACUAGUAGAAGAUGCAUGAGUUUUAGCCAGCUCUGCAUACUUUAAUAGCAUAGGCUAAAUAGGGCUAUCAGUAAUUAUAUUUCCCAGUUACCAGGAGCUUGAUAGACCCCUCAGAGUACAACCACAUUGCUCUCUACCCUCAGGACCUUGCAGGUUGACACCAGAUGCUGUAGGGAAAGGGAAGUGCACAGGGGGUCAUGGGCAUCAGCAUGAGGAUGUGGCUGCUCAGCCAAUGUCUAUUAGCAGAAUGGAGGGGUAGCAAAUCAGCAGGAUAAAUAACAAGCAUCUUUUCUUUGUCUCAUUCUUAGUCACCUGCAUCAGUCAUAAACUUGGUCCUUUUGGAUUCCCUGAAACAGUGGAACAAGUCCUUUGUUUUGCAUGCCAGGACAGAAACAGCUCAUGGAGCUGCAGCCACAGACUGCUGUGGCAGCCCAAAGUGUAAAUGCUUUUGGUAAAGUUUUGGGUAGAAAUGGGGAGGAUGGGUCGACUGGAAACUAAAAUACAACCUGAGACCCAGAGAGUGCCUAAAAUGCUGACAGGAAAGCUAAGAGGGCAUAUCAGGGAAAGAUCUUGUACAUAACCUGUAUUUCUGUUCUUCCUAAGCAUCUACUUCUGACCACUGUCAGUCAGAGAAAGGCUACUGGGCUGGACAAACCUUUGUUUUGAUUCAAUAUGGCCUUUCUUACCCAUUUUAGUGUGUACUGUUGCAUACCUGGUGCUUCUGGCUUUACAACAUUCCCUCUGCAGACACUGGGCAGAGAUCAAGGCCCUUUGCUCUCCAUUUCUGUGAGUCACGCCAAUGAAAAUUCAUUUCAGACCCUGUAGGGGCGGAAUUACUAAUGCAGAAUGCCACUGAGAGCUUGCCCUGUUACCCUGGGUUCUUGGAAAGGGAAUCCUAGCAAGCUGGGGUGGGUAUUAGCUCAUUUUCUGUCACUGCCCUGGGUUACUACAAGGGAGACACAGGGGAGCAGAAACAUAAACGGAGCAUGGGAUUUUUUCUUAGUGCAUGAGCACUAAAACCCUUACUCAUGGUGUGUGGUUUGAGUCAAUGCAGUUCUAGAUUAUCCGCUGUACAUAUAUUCACCAUACAUAAAGAUCUGACAGCAAUUACGCUUAGUGAUGCCAUUGGAGAUCAGAAUCCUGUCUCCCCUCUGAAUUUAUAAAAGGACCUUUUCAACUUUCAAAUUAGCGAACCAAUUAAUCAUGUGUGUUAUUUUAAGCAUGUGCUUUAGUCCAGGCCCUCAAAUUUAAGCGCACCUCAA